CAGUUUCCGUUUAUAUAAAUUUUUAAUUCUGAGCGAAUCAAACCCCUUAAUGUAUUGGUUUUACUACCUAUGUGUCUUUUUCUGGUGUCUGUAAACAACUUUUCUACCAGAAUCCUUACUCGAAAUAAAAGCUUUGAACUACUUCCAUGUAGCAUUUUUGAUCCAGUAUUGGUACAUAGAGGUGGUUUUUUUCCUAGUAGUUUUCUCAAUAAAUGGGAAAAACUGGCAAUUUUUUGUACAAUUGUUGUUGAUUUCUGGGUUACGUUAGCAACAAGGGAAAUAUACGACUAAUAAUACUCUGCUC